rnacentral:rRNA from 1 species
AGUGAACGCUGGCGGUAGGCCUAACACAUGCAAGUCGAACGGCAGCACAGUAAGAGCUUGCUCUUACGGGUGGCGAGUGGCGGACGGGUGAGGAAUACAUCGGAAUCUACUUUUUCGUGGGGGAUAACGUAGGGAAACUUACGCUAAUACCGCAUACGACCUACGGGUGAAAGCAGGGGAUCUUCGGACCUUGCGCGAUUGAAUGAGCCGAUGUCGGAUUAGCUAGUUGGCGGGGUAAAGGCCCACCAAGGCGACGAUCCGUAGCUGGUCUGAGAGGAUGAUCAGACACACUGGAACUGAGACAAGGUCAAGACUCCUACGGGAGGCAGCAGUGGGGAAUAUUGGACAAUGGGCGCAAGCCUGAUCCAGCCAUACCGCGUGGGUGAAGAAGGCCUUCGGGUUGUAAAGCCCUUUUGUUGGGAAAGAAAAGCAGCAGGUUAAUACCCCGCUGUUCUGACGGUACCAAAAGAAUAAGCACCGGCUAACUUCGUG